rnacentral:lncRNA from 1 species
CUGGGAUGGGACAGGCAGCUAUGGCGUCCUGAACUUCAAAAGCAUGCGCAGGGAGCCUACUGCAAAUCAGAUUGGUGGUUCUCUUUGGGAGCUAUUGACCUGUGGGUCUUGGUGUUUCAGACACCAGUGGCCAGGCAAACGGAAUCAGGAGUCAGGCACUGGGAAAGAAGAAAGAAGGGCAGGAGUGGCACCCAGAAGACCGGAAUUAACGCCCAGAACCGGGCUCUGGGGACAGCACAGCAGGAGGCAGCUGCCGCAGACUGGAGGAAAGGGACCUCUGCGGGCUCAGCAAGGGGAUCCCGAGAGCCCUCCGCGGACCUCAGACCCAUAGCAACUAGAGUCCAAGGUGAGGGCCCUGGCACUCGCGGUCCCGGGGUGCAGGGCACAGAGCCCCCGCUGGGGAAUGAGGAACAGCAGAGGGGCGCCCACCCCGUGCUAGCUAGCUGGUGACAUUGGGGAAGCCCAGAACUGAGCUGCACUUCAUUUCCCACAUCUGUGAGCGGGGCAGGUGCCCCCACUCCCCUCGCUGGGGGUUGGUGAGGAAUAAAUGAGUUACAGCGUAGAAGGGAUUGGAGCA